rnacentral:other from 1 species
ACUUCCUGAGCCGGAACGAAAAGUUUUUUAGAUUUGUGAGUGAGUUCGCAGAUUUUCUGAAAGCUUUUGGCUUGUGGUCGUGAUGUUGUGUUUGCAAUUUUGAUCUGACCUUUACAGAUCAAGCUUUUUUAAUUCCUGUAGAUUUACCCUGUCUGUCCAUUGUGAUAUUGAGUAGCACCGCAAAUUGCGGUGCUUUUUUUA